UUAUGCUGUGAUUUUUGUGAGCCUGAGGGGUGUUAUGGACCUUAUGGUCUUUUGGAGUCGAGUGGGAGUGGUUUUGCUGGAAAUUCACCGUCCCCACGUGUUGUUCUCGGACGGCAACAAGUUUAGCGGUGAGUUGAGCUGGAUGCAUCAAGCGCUGCUUCAAAGUAUUGCAAUCUUCAUUACUUUUUCUUAUUGUUUUCUUAGCCGGGAAUCGCUUGUGAACAGUGCCUAUGGUCCGGUUAUGCUGUGAUUUUUGUGAGCCUGAGGGGUGUUAUGGACCUUAUGGUCUUUUGGAGUCGAGUGGGAGUGGUUUUGCUGGAAAUUCACCGUCCCCACGUGUUGUUCUCGGACGGCAACAAGUUUAGCUGCUUCAAAGUAUUGCAAUCUUCAUUACUUUUUCUUAUUGUUUUCUUAGCCGGGAAUCGCUUGUGAACAGUGCCUAUGGUCCGGUUAUGCUGUGAUUUUUGUGAGCCUGAGGGGUGUUAUGGACCUUAUGGUCUUUUGGAGUCGAGUGGGAGUGGUUUUGCUGGAAAUUCACCGUCCCCACGUGUUGUUCUCGGACGGCAACAAGUUUAGCGGUGAGUUGAGCUGGAUGCAUCAAGCGCUGCUUCAAAGUAUUGCAAUCUUCAUUACUUUUUCUUAUUGUUUUCUUAGCCUUGUCUCCGUUACUUUCUCUUAUUCUUUUCUUGACUUUCUCUACCCAGCGUUUUUUCCGUUCCUCAUUCUCCAAUCUUUUUUCUCUAUUCUUUUCUUAGCUUCUCUGCCCAGUGUUUUGCCCUUUCCUCGUUUUCCUAUUGAGUUCUCUACUAGACUGCAAAUAAUUGAGCAAGUGAAUUGCGCAUCAGAGCACGGGUGCUUUGCAGAUGUUUAAUGUUAGUUAUGCUCUAUUUUAUUGGUUUGCAUAGCCAUUCAUGCAGAGCAACAAAUCAAAGUAAGGCUCAUGUAUCCGCGCUCUUGAUGUCUGACCCAGAAGUUUGGCCAUGAAUAUAUAUGUUUGCAUGUAUGGAUGAAUGACGACAAUUAUUCCUGAUAGUUAGUCUUGCUGUAAUUGCUCCUUCUGUUGCUGCCAUUUCUUUGCUUUAAUGCAGCUGCUGCUUGGGU
rnacentral:lncRNA from 1 species